rnacentral:lncRNA from 1 species
AAUUCAUGCAAAAUGGGCUCUGAACUCCUUUGCAAUAUGCAGAUUUGUGUGCAAAUGAGCGUUACCUAUGGUGUUCACACUGAAGCGUUUUUCUUUGAUGUACAUUUCUGACAUUCUGAGAUUGUAAAGAAGAAAAUAACUUUAAAAAUUUUAAGAAACCUUAAUUGAAGUUAACAUAAAAGAAGAUACAUGGUGUUAAUUGGUCUGUUUCAGGCAUAAUUUGGGCCUUUGAGACCAUGUCCCUUACCCCCCGCCAAAGUGUCAAGACUCACAUCUUUAAUUCAACAAUCUUUGUAUUAAUUACCUCUGGAUAAGGAAUAGUUUAAAUGGAUUUUCAGCACGUGAGAGCAUCAGAUUGAUAGCUUGAAGACUUGGGUCCUCCUCUGGUUAUGAAAACGAUGCCUCCUUCUGGAUAUGCCCUGGACUGGCUGUAGGUGCUUGUCAAGGGCCUGAAUUAGCUGUUUUAAAGACAGAAUUUAUCUUUUCAUUGUCUUCAGUGGAAACUGGAUGAAGGCUGCAUACCUUACCAAAUUAAGAGGGGAGAGGCAUGAUCUUUGAAGAGCUUCCUCGCAAGUCACUGACAGAUAUCCAGUUGCACAGUUACUCUCCUGUGACGUUAUUACUGAUAGACUGCUUCUACACUGCAAGAUAA